rnacentral:tRNA from 1 species
GGGCAUAUAACUCAGUUGGUAGAGUGUUUGCCUUGCAUGCAUAAGGCCCUGGGUUCAAUCUCUGGCACCACCA